AGCAGAGAGCUGAGCAGAGAGCUGAGCACAGGGCUGGGCACAGGGCUGGGCAAAGAGCAGGGCACAGAGCUGAGCAGUGCUGGGCACAGAGCUGGGUAAAGAUCAGGGCACAGAGGUGGGCACAGGGCUGAGCACAGGGCUGGGCACAGGGCUGGGCAUAGAACUGAACACAGGGCUGGGCACAGGGCUGGGCAUAGAACUGAACACAGGGCUGGGCACAGGGCUGGGCACUGGGCACAGGGCUGAGCGCAGCGUUGCUUUCUGCCCGCAGUACGUGACGGUGAAGCCGAACCAGAAGCAGCUGCUGCGGGGGCUGUUUGUCCCCGAGUGCCCGGGCUGCGGCACCCCACAGCUGGAGCAGGCUGUGGGCAUCGUGGGGGCCGUCAUCAUGCCCCACAACAUGUACCUGCACUCCGCGCUCGUCAAGGUGAGCCGUGCAAUAGGGGGCAGCGCAGUAAGGAGCAGCACAGUGAGCAGUGCAGUAAGGAGCAGUGCAGUAAGCAGUGCAAUAAGGAGCAGUGCAGUAAGGAGCAGUGCAGUGAGCAGUGCAAUGAGCAGCAGUGCAAUAAGGAGCAGUGCAGUAAGGAGCAGCGCAGUGAGCAGUGCAAUAAGGAGCAGUGCAGUAAAGGGCAGUGCAGUAAGGGGCAGUGCAAUGAGCAACAGUGCAAUGAGCAGCACAAUGAGCAGUGCAGUAAGGAGCAGUGCAGUAAGCAGCAGCAUGAGGAGCAGAGCAGUGAGAAGCAGAGCAGUGAGGAGCAGAGCAGUGAGGAGCAGAGCAGUGAGGAGCAGAGCAGUGAGGAGCAGAGCAGUGAGGAGCAGCAGUGCAGUGAGGAGCAGCAGUGCAGUGAGGAGCAGCAGCGCAAUGAGGAGCAGCGCAGUGAGCAGCAGUGCAGUGAGCAGUGCAAUAAGGGGCAGUGCAGUGAGCAGCAGUGCAAUGAGGAGCAGCACAAUGAGCAGCAGUGCAGUAAGAAGCAGUGCAGUGAGCAGUGCAAUGAGGAGCAGCUUAAUAAGCAGUGCAGUAAGGAGCAGCGCAAUGAGGAGCAGAGCAAUGAGAAGCAGUGCAGUGAGGAGCAGCAGUGCAGUGAGCAGCAGUGCAGUGAGCAGCCGUGCAAUGAGCAGCCGUGCAAUGAGCAGCCAUGGGCUGCAGCAGGGAUGGGAGCUCGCAGCUGUGAGCUCUGCAGGUCAGCACUGUGUGCAGCCUUUCCCCAUGGCAGUGGGGUCCGUGCAAGCAAAGCUGCAGCUGCACCAGGCAGCAGCCGCAUGCAUGGGGGCAGGGCUCCCUGUGCACCCCCACACUUUGCACCCCCAACUCUGUGCACCCCCAACUCUGUGCACACCAUCACUCUGCACCUCCCUGUGUGCACCCCCACUCUGUGCACCCCCCCACUUUGCACCCACACUCUGUGCACCCCCCACUUUGCACCCUCACA
rnacentral:lncRNA from 1 species